CCCUUAGAUGUUCUGGGCCGCACGCGCGCUACACUGAUGCAUUCAACGAGUUUCUUCCUGGUCCGAGAGGAAUGGGUAACCUUUUGAAAGUGCAUCGUGAUAGGGAUAGACUAUUGCAAUUAUUGGUCUUCAACGAGGAAUUCCUAGUAGACGUAGUUCAUCAGACUGCAUCGAUUACGUCCCUGCCCUUUGUACACACCGCCCGUCGCUCCUACCGAUUGAAUGCUCAGGUGAAGCCUCGGGAUUGUGGUUCUUGCCGCUUUAUUGUGGCGUGACCGCGAGAACUUGUCUAAACCUUAUCAUCUAGAGGAAGGUGAAGUCGUAACA
rnacentral:rRNA from 1 species